GACCUCGGAUCAGGUGGGGAUACCCGCUGAACUUAAGCAUAUCAAUAAGCGGAGGAA
rnacentral:rRNA from 1 species